rnacentral:rRNA from 1 species
UAUGGCUCAGGAUGAACGCUAGCUACAGGCUUAACACAUGCAAGUCGAGGGGCAGCAUUGGAGUAGCAAUACUUCAGAUGGCGACCGGCGCACGGGUGAGUAACACGUAUCCAACCUGCCGCUUACUCGGGGAUAGCCUUUCGAAAGAAAGAUUAAUACCCGAUGGUAUAAAGAGUUCGCAUGUUCUCUUUAUUAAAGAAUUUCGGUAAGCGAUGGGGAUGCGUUCCAUUAGAUAGUUGGCGGGGUAACGGCCCACCAAGUCUACGAUGGAUAGGGGUUCUGAGAGGAAGGUCCCCCACAUUGGAACUGAGACACGGUCCAAACUCCUACGGGAGGCAGCAGUGAGGAAUAUUGGUCAAUGGACGAGAGUCUGAACCAGCCAAAAGUAGCGUGAAGGAUGACUGCCCUAUGGGUUGUAAACUUCUUUUAUAAGGGAAUAAAGUGAGGGACGUGUCCCUUUUUGUAUGUACCUUAUGAAUAAGGAUCGGCUAACUCCGUGCCAGCCGCGGC